rnacentral:rRNA from 1 species
UACGUAGGGUGCGAGCGUUGUCCGGAAUUAUUGGGCGUAAAGAGCUCGUAGGCGGCUUGUCGCGUCGGAUGUGAAAGCCCGGGGCUUAACCCCGGGUCUGCAUUCGAUACGGGCAGGCUGGAGUGCGGUAGGGGAGAUCGGAAUUCCUGGUGUAGCGGUGAAAUGCGCAGAUAUCAGGAGGAACACCGGUGGCGAAGGCGGAUCUCUGGGCCGUUACUGACGCUGAGGAGCGAAAGCGUGGGGAGCGAACAGG